rnacentral:rRNA from 1 species
AUUGAACGCUGGCGGAAUGCUUUACACAUGCAAGUCGAACGGCAGCACGGACUUCGGUCUGGUGGCGAGUGGCGAACGGGUGAGUAAUGUAUCGGAACGUGCCCAGUCGUGGGGGAUAACGUAGUGAAAAUUACGCUAAUACCGCAUACGAUCUAUGGAUGAAAGCGGGGGAUCGCAAGACCGCGCGCGAUUGGAGCGGCUGAUAUCAGAUUAGGUAGUUGGUGGGGUAAAGGCCCACCAAGCCAACGAUCUGUAGCUGGUCUGAGAGGACGACCAGCCACACUGGAACUGAGACACGGUCCAGACUCCUACGGGAGGCAGCAGUGGGGAAUUUUGGACAAUGGGCGAAAGCCUGAUCCAGCCAUUCCGCGUGCAGGAUGAAGGCCCUCGGGUUGUAAACUGCUUUUGUACAGAACGAAAAGGUUUCUACUAAUACUAGGAGCUCAUGACGGUACUGUAAGAAUAAGCACCGGCUAACUACGUGCCAGCAGCCGCAGUAA